rnacentral:rRNA from 1 species
UACGUAGGUGGCAAGCGUUGUCCGGAUUUAUUGGGUUUAAAGGGUGCGUAGGCGGCCCUGUAAGUCAGUUGUGAAAUACGGCAGCUUAACUGUCGAGGUGCAAUUGAUACUGCAGGGCUUGAGUACUGAUGAGGUAGGCGGAAUGGACGGUGUAGCGGUGAAAUGCUUAGAGAUCGUCCAGAACACCGAUAGCGAAGGCAGCUUACUAAGGAGUAACUGACGCUGAGGCACGAAAAGUGUGGGGAUCAAACAGG